AGUCCCAGCUACUUGGGAGGCUGAGCAGGAAGGAUUACUUCAGCUCAAGAGUUUUAGGCUGCCAUGAACUAUCAUUGUUCUACUGCACUCCAG